rnacentral:lncRNA from 1 species
CGUUGGGAGUCACCGCCGACUCCCCGCUGCAUACCAAGUCCGUCGCUAGCCACAAGCACCGCUAGGAGACGCCGGCGGCAAAACCUCCGCCAGCCGCAAAACCGACGGCCAAAACUGCUCCACCGUCGAGCACCUCUGCUUCAUUCAGUUCCAAUACCUCCGCUCCGCUGAGCUUCUGAGCUUUCUCAGCUCCGCCGGCCUCCGCUGAGUUCCAGGAUCACCGCUAGCCACAAGCACCGCCAUACUGUGCACCGCCGGACUAUACACCGCUGACCCCAAAAAUAUGCUCUAGGCACCCAGUAGACAUCUCGGCUCAUUGCUUAGCCUCUGCCAACCAAGCACCGCCAUACUGUGCACCGCCGGCAUCUUCCGCCCAACACUAUCAGCGGCAAAACUUCCGCCGAACUUAGUCAGCGGCACCGCCGAACUCCUCCUCCGCUGAGCUCCACUUCCUCUGACCAUCUCCUCCGCCGAGCUGCGAACCUCCGAUGCUUGGCCCAACGCUCCACCUCCGCUGACCACCGCUAGCUUCCAUCUUCCGCCAACCCGCUGGCCAAGUUCCGUCAGUCUGCAAUAUGCAAUUGCAGCGAUCACCGCUAGACCAACCCAGGCGUUCCAAGGCUACUGCUGGUCACAACUCCACUGCCGGCUAAGGCUACCUCUGGCCAAAGCAUCAAGCAUCUUCGAUCAGCUCCCUCUCUCAAUUGAUCUGGACUCACACUCACCCACUGCAAGCAUCACACUCACCCACUGCAAUUCGCCGACGAAUCCGAAGCCAGAUCCAAAAUUUGAAUCUCAGAGCUGAAAACUCUUCUCGACGCGACUGUCACCAAUAAGCUAAG